CGGGCCCCACCCACGCUGCACACACACCCACGCCCAACCCACGCACACACACCCAUGUUGGAUCCCAUCUCUCUCAUCCUCCUCGAUCCCCUUUGUCCACCCCACGCCGCCACCAGAUUCCGGCGAUCCUCGCUGUUCCCCACCGCCCAGCUCUCCUCCCCGAGGUCACCUUUCCCCGCUCACCAUCUCCAUCGACCGAUUUCUCUCCACGCCUAGGAGAGCCACGCCCAGGCACUGGUGGUGGUGCACCGCGAGGAGGCCCCAGCGGCGUCGAGCUGCUGCUGCUGCGGGCACAGCGACGUGCUGGGGAGGAGCUACGCCGGGAUGCUGCUCCUGCGCCGAGCUACUUCUGCUGCGGGCACGACAACGAGCCAGGGAGCAGCUGCUACUGCGGGCGUGGCGUCUCUCCUUUCCCCAAAUCCCCAUCCGACGCAUCCCUCUCCAGCCUCAAGCCGCUGCCUUGAGCUCCCCUACAGGCCGGCGACACCACUCUGAUUAGGAGUCACGCAUGUGGCCGGCAUAGCAUUCUGGUCACCAACUGCCCUCCAGGUGUGAGCUGUUUUGCUCGUGGACAAUCUCAUGUGUUGGAUCUGCAUUGGAUGGCAGAUAAGCGGAGUGGGAGCUUGCAGCAGCAGCUUUGACCCCUUCCCAAUGAGUUGCAGGUCGUAGACGAGGUCCCGGCCGAGACAAACAGUUUUCGAUGAACUGACAUCUCACCAUUCUGCUGGUUGGAUGCUUGUUGCCUAUAUUUAGAAUAAGCGUAAGUGCUUGUAUCUUGCUACUAUGAAAGUGGUGAUGUUUCUAAUGAAGUGAUGCAGGCUGCAGUGGCGUGCAACAUGUAUUCAUUGCAAUAUUUUCAUAUUUGUGGAUAUUGGUUAGUAUUUUGUGGUUGAUGGCUGUAGCUGGCUUUUCCUCCUAAAAUUUACAUGUGGUGGGAAAAGAGUACACGUGCCAUAAAAUUCACUUUUUCUCCUAACAACUUAUACUUAACACUUUGAUCUUUGUAGAAAAAACCUUGCUGGGUCCGAAGUUGUCCAGAUGCAUGGUGAAUGAUGGCUGAGAUAUGGUGCGAAAUGGAAUAGAAAGAAAAUUCUUGUGCUUGCAGGGAGCGGAACUGAAUGUGAUCGGGGGGUCACAGUCAAGAGAGUGCUUCCUUGGCGUGCUACCAAAGGGAAAUGGCACUAUCAUGGAAGUAAAAGAGAUGGCCAUUUAAUUAGGCUAGGCUCACAAGUAGCUGGAUUUUUUUGUGUGAAGAUGCAUCAGUGAAUUUUUUAGCAGUUUAUAGUGGUACUAGCCCCCUGUGCUUGUGGGUGCAGUUCCCUAAUUGCAGAAAAAUACCAGGUGCAAGUGUGGUGCUGGUUCUCUCCUUUGGCUCUUUGGUAUUGGUUCUCUCCUUUGUCUCCUUGUAAUAUGUGUUGGAUAUGUGUUCAUGGAUAUGUGUUGGAUAUAUAUGUGUUCAUGACUAUUGGUAACAUGUGUUGGAUAUGUGUUCAUGGCUA